rnacentral:rRNA from 1 species
AUUGAACGCUGGCGGCAGGCCUAACACAUGCAAGUCGAACGAGUGGCGGACGGGUGAGUAAUGUCUGGUAACCUGGCUGAUUGAGGGGGAUAACUACUGGAAACGGUCGCUAAUACCGCAUACCAUCAGAUGUGCCCAGAUGGGAUUAGCGAGUUGGUGGGGUAACGGCUCACCAAGGCGAUGAUCCCUAGCCGGUCUGAGAGGUUGACCGGCAACACUGGAACGGAGACAGGGUCCAGAGUCCUACGGGAGGCAGACGUGGGGAAUAUUGCACAAUGGGGGCAAGCCUGAUGCAGCCAUGCGGGGGGUAUGAAGAAGGCCUUCGGGUUGUAAAGUACUUUCAGCGGGGCGGCGUUACCCGCAGAAGAAGCACCGGCUAACUACGUGCCAGCAGCCGCGGUAAUAC